GCCCCGGUAAACGGCGGCCGUAACUAUAACGGUCCUAAGGUAGCGAAAUUCCUUGUCGGGUAAGUUCCGACCUGCACGAAUGGCGUAAUGAUGGCCAGGCUGUCUCCACCCGAGACUCAGUGAAAUUGAACUCGCUGUGAAGAUGCAGUGUACCCGCGGCAAGACGGAAAGACCCCGUGAACCUUUACUAUAGCUUGACACUGAACAUUGAGCCUUGAUGUGUAGGAUAGGUGGGAGGCUUUGAAGUGUGGACGCCAGUCUGCAUGGAGCCGACCUUGAAAUACCACCCUUUAAUGUUUGAUGUUCUAACGUUGGCCCGUAAUCCGGGUUGCGGACAGUGUCUGGUGGGUAGUUUGACUGGGGCGGUCUCCUCCUAAAGAGUAACGGAGGAGCACGAAGGUUGGCUAAUCCUGGUCGGACAUCAGGAGGUUAGUGCAAUGGCAUAAGCCAGCUUGACUGCGAGCGUGACGGCGCGAGCAGGUGCGAAAGCAGGUCAUAGUGAUCCGGUGGUUCUGAAUGGAAGGGCCAUCGCUCAACGGAUAAAAGGUACUCCGGGGAUAACAGGCUGAUACCGCCCAAGAGUUCAUAUCGACGGCGGUGUUUGGCACCUCGAUGUCGGCUCAUCACAUCCUGGGGCUGAAGUAGGUCCCAAGGGUAUGGCUGUUCGCCAUUUAAAGUGGUACGCGAGCUGGGUUUAGAACGUCGUGAGACAGUUCGGUCCCUAUCUGCCGUGGGCGCUGGAGAACUGAGGGGGGCUGCUCCUAGUACGAGAGGACCGGAGUGGACGCAUCACUGGUGUUCGGGUUGUCAUGCCAAUGGCACUGCCCGGUAGCUAAAUGCGGAAGAGAUAAGUGCUGAAAGCAUCUAAGCACGAAACUUGCCCCGAGAUGAGUUCUCCCUGACUCCUUGAGGGUCCUGAAGGAACGUUGAAGACGACGACGUUGAUAGGCCGGGUGUGUAAGCGCAGCGAUGCGUUGAGCUAACCGGUACUAAUGAACCGUGAGGCUUAACCUUACAACGCCGAAG
rnacentral:rRNA from 1 species